UACCAAGACAUGCCAGACGCCGCGACGCUGCUGCGCCUGCAGCACCUUCGCCACCUGUGCGGAAGCUGGAAGGAGGCGGCCAUCCGAAGUAGGAGGAAGGGCCGGCGUCGCUGCAGGAGGGUCCCCGCGGUAGGCCUUCAGUAAGCCGACAUGGAAGACGUCGUGGAGGCGAGAACCAGUUGGCAGCUCCAAGCGGUAUGCGAGUGUGCCGACACGCUCCAGCACACGAAAGGG
rnacentral:lncRNA from 1 species